rnacentral:rRNA from 1 species
UACGUAGGGGCCUAGCGUUGUCCGGAUUUAUUGGGCGUAAAGAGCUCGUAGGCGGCUUGUCACGUCGAUUGUGAAAGCCCGAGGCUUAACCUCGGGUCUGCAGUCGAUACGGGCUAGCUAGAGUGUGGUAGGGGAGAUCGGAAUUCCUGGUGUAGCGGUGAAAUGCGCAGAUAUCAGGAGGAACACCAAUGGCGAAGGCAGAUCUCUGGGCCGUAACUGACGCUGAGGAGCGAAAGCAUGGGGAGCGAACAGG